rnacentral:rRNA from 1 species
AUUGAACGCUGGCGGCAGGCUUAACACAUGCAAGUCGAGCGGGGGAAGGUAGCUUGCUACCGGACCUAGCGGCGGACGGGUGAGUAAUGCUUAGGAAUCUGCCUAUUAGUGGGGGACAACAUCUCGAAAGGGAUGCUAAUACCGCAUACGUCCUACGGGAGAAAGCAGGGGAUCUUCGGACCUUGCGCUAAUAGAUGAGCCUAAGUCGGAUUAGCUAGUUGGUGGGGUAAAGGCCUACCAAGGCGACGAGCUGUAGCGGGUCUGAGAGGAUGAUCCGCCACACUGGGACUGAGAAACGGCCCAGACUCCUACGGGAGGCAGCAGUGGGGAAUAUUGGAAAAUGGGGGGAACCCUGAUCCAGCCAUGCCGCGUGUGUGAAGAAGGCCUUAUGGUUGUAAAGCACUUUAAGCGAGGAGGAGGCUACUUUAGUUAAUACCUAGAGAUAGUGGACGUUACUCGCAGAAUAAGCACCGGCUAACUCUGUGCCAGCAGCCGCCGUAA